AUCAACUUUCGAUGGUAGGAUAGAGGCCUACCAUGGUGGUAACGGGUAACGGGGUGUUAGGGCACGACACCGGAGAGGGAGCCUGAGAAACGGCUACCACAUCCAAGGAUGGCAGCAGGCGCGCAAAUUACCCAAUCCCGACACGGGGAGGUAGUGACAAUAAAUAACAAUACGGGGUUCUUUCGGAUUUCGUAAUUGGAAUGAGUACAAUUUAAAUCUCUUAACGAUCAACAAUUGGAGGGCAAGUCUGGUGCCAGCAGCCGCGGUAAUUCCAGCUCCAAUAGCGUAUAUUAAAGUUGUUGCAGUUAAAAAGCUCGUAGUUGAAUUUCGGGAUCAGUAGGUUGGUCAUGCCUCUGGUAUGCACUGGUCUCACUGGUUCCUCCUUCCUGAUGAACCGUAAUGCCAUUAAUUUGGUGUUGCGGGGAAACUGGACUGUUACUUUGAAAAAAUUAGAGUGUUUAAAGCAAGCUAACGCUUGAAUACAUUAGCAUGGAAUAAUGAAAUAGGACGAUCGAUCCUAUUUUGUUGGUUUCUAGGAUUGACGUAAUGAUUAAUAGGGAUAGUUGGGGGCAUUAGUAUUCAAUUGUCAGAGGUGAAAUUCUUGGAUUUAUUGAAGACUAACUACUGCGAAAGCAUUUGCCAAGGAUGUUUUCAUUAAUCAAGAACGAAAGUUAGGGGAUCGAAGACGAUCAGAUACCGUCGUAGUCUUAACCAUAAACUAUGCCGACUAGGGAUCGGAUGAUGUUAAUUUUUUAAUGACUCAUUCGGCGCCUUACGGGAAACCAAAGUGUUUGGGUUC
rnacentral:rRNA from 1 species